rnacentral:rRNA from 1 species
UACGGGAGGCAGCAGUGGGGAAUAUUGCACAAUGGGCGCAAGCCUGAUGCAGCCAUGCCGCGUGUAUGAAGAAGGCCUUCGGGUUGUAAAGUACUUUCAGUCGUGAGGAAGGUGUUAAGGUUAAUAACCUUAGCAAUUGACGUUAGCGACAGAAGAAGCACCGGCUAACUCCGUGCCAGCAGCCGCGGUAAUACGGAGGGUGCGAGCGUUAAUCGGAAUUACUGGGCGUAAAGGGCACGCAGGCGGUUAAUUAAGUUGGAUGUGAAAUCCCCGGGCUUAACCUGGGAAUGGCAUUCAAGACUGGUUAGCUAGAGUCUUGUAGAGGGGGUAGAAUUCCAUGUGUAGCGGUGAAAUGCGUAGAGAUGUGGAGGAAUACCGGUGGCGAAGGCGGCCCCUGGGACAAAGGACUGGGCGCUCAUGUGCGAAAGCGUGGGGAGCGAAAC